UACGAAGGGGGCUAGCGUUGCUCGGAAUUACUGGGCGUAAAGCGCACGUAGGCGGCUUGUUAAGUCAGGGGUGAAAUCCUGGAGCUCAACUCCAGAACUGCCUUUGAUACUGGCGAGCUUGAGUUCGGGAGAGGUGAGUGGAACUGCGAGUGUAGAGGUGAAAUUCGUAGAUAUUCGCAAGAACACCAGUGGCGAAGGCGGCUCACUGGCCCGAUACUGACGCUGAGGUGCGAAAGCGUGGGGAGCGAACAGG
rnacentral:rRNA from 1 species